UUUAGUUUAGUGGCGGACGGGUGAGUAACGCGUGGGUAACCUGCCCUAUACAGGGGGAUAACAGUUGGAAACGACUGUUAAUACCGCAUAAGCGCACAGGAGCGCAUGCUCCGGUGUGAAAAACUCCGGUGGUAUAGGAUGGACCCGCGUCUGAUUAGCUGGUUGGCGGGGUAACGGCCCACCAAGGCGACGAUCAGUAGCCGGCCUGAGAGGGUGAACGGCCACAUUGGGACUGAGACACGGCCCAAACUCCUACGGGAGGCAGCAG
rnacentral:rRNA from 1 species